rnacentral:pre_miRNA from 1 species
UCUUAGCAUUCAAAUGACCAAGGUGUCGAUGCCAAAUGCCAUUCUUAUCUUGAUCAAGUGGAAACUCAGCAAAUGCGGCCACUUCAACUCUAUUCACUAUCUUGCACUUGAUGAAGUAAAGAUUCCCAUCUCUAAAGCCUUUGGCAACAUCAUCUCUACCCAAUGUCUUUAUAAAGCAUCCAUUCUUAUCAAAUUAUAUCUUCUUGGUCACUUCAUAGGCAAG